AGUGAACGCUGGCGGUAGGCCUAACACAUGCAAGUCGAACGGCAGCACAGUAAGAGCUUGUUCUUACGGGUGGCGAGUGGCGGACGGGUGAGGAAUACAUCGGAAUCUACUUUUUCGUGGGGGAUAACGUAGGGAAACUUACGCUAAUACCGCAUACGACCUACGGGUGAAAGCAGGGGAUCUUCGGACCUUGCGCGAUUGAAUGAGCCGAUGCCGGAUUAGCUAGUUGGCGGGGUAAAGGCCCACCAAGGCGACGAUCCGUAGCUGGUCUGAGAGGAUGAUCAGCCACACUGGAACUGAGACACGGUCCAGACUCCUACGGGAGGCAGCAGUGGGGAAUAUUGGACAAUGGGCGCAAGCCUGAUCCAGCCAUACCGCGUGGGUGAAGAAGGCCUUCGGGUUGUAAAGCCCUUUUGUUGGGAAAGAAAAGCAGCAGGUUAAUACCCCGCUGUUCUGACGGUACCCAAAGAAUAAGCACCGGCUAACUUCGUG
rnacentral:rRNA from 1 species